CGCGGCCUAUCAGCUUGUUGGUGAGGUAACGGCUCACCAAGGCAAUGACGGGUAGCUGGUCUGAGAGGACGAUCAGCCACACUGGGACUGAGACACGGCCCAGACUCCUACGGGAGGCAGCAGUGGGGAAUCUUGCGCAAUGGGCGAAAGCCUGACGCAGCAACGCCGCGUGGGGGAUGAAGGCUCUCGGGUUGUAAACCCCUUUCAGCAGGGACGAAAAUGACGGUACCUGCAGAAGAAGCCCCGGCCGACUACGUGCCAGCAGCCGCGGUAACACGUAGGGGGCAAGCGUUGUCCGGAAUUAUUGGGCGUAAAGAGCUCGUAGGCGGCUCGGUAAGUCGGGUGUGAAAUUCCAGGGCUCAACCCUGGAACGCCACCCGAUACUGCUGUGGCUAGAGUCCGGUAGGGGAGCGUGGAAUUCCUAGUGUAGCGGUGAAAUGCGCAGGUAUUAGGAGGAACACCAGCGGCGAAGGCGGCGCUCUGGGCCGGAACUGACGCUGAGGAGCGAAAGCAUGGGGAGCAAACAGGAUUAGAUACCCUGGUAGUCCAUGCCGUAAACGUUGGGCACUAGGUGUGGGACCUAUUCAACGGGUUCCGUGCCGUAGCUAACGCAUUAAGUGCCCCGCCUGGGGAGUACGG
rnacentral:rRNA from 1 species